UUACGGUCAAAUCACGCUGAAACACCGGUUCUCGUAUGAUCAUCGAAGUUAAGCAUCGUAGAGCCAGGUCAGUACUUAGAUGGGGACCGCUUGGGAACACCUGGUACUGUAAGC
rnacentral:rRNA from 1 species